CCCUGCCGCUUCGCACCCGCGGCCAGGCUGCCCGGCAAGCCGCCCUUCGUGGGAGAUGGAUGCUUUGAUGCAAGGAUGUUUAAACUGGUUAUGAAGCUUGGUUAUGUAAGAAGCGCCGUCUUUAGCAAGUCCAGAGACAAUACAAGGUUGUGGGACGGGUGGAGAAAGUGGAGAUCACGUUUUUACCUCUGUCGUAAUACUGGAACUUGGUGCACCCAUGCAUCGAAUACUAGAGUUGGAAGGGGCCAUAACGGCAAUUGAUCCCAGCCCCUGCUGUCACAUGACACCACAGUUACUCCAUGUCAGGACGCUGAGGUAAAUUACCCAGCCGUGCCAGUGUGUUGUUUUUCAGUACCUUUAAAGAACUGCCACUACUGACGUCUCCUCAGAUUCCCUGCUGCUGGUACAGAGAGGCGUCUUGGCUCAGAUCCUGGAGGCAGCUUAGAGAGCCAUCACAACUAAGAACUAGAGGGUGCUUCCUCCAUGAACAUGCCCAGUUCCAUUAAAGCCUUAUAAACACCCUCAUCACUAUA